rnacentral:rRNA from 1 species
CUCGUAGGCGGCUCAGCAAGUCGGUCGUGAAAACCCGGGGCUCAACCCCGGGAGGCCGGUCGAUACUGCUGUGGCUAGGGUCCGGUAGAGGAGAGUGGAAUUCCCGGUGUAGCGGUGGAAUGCGCAGAUAUCGGGAGGAACACCAGUAGCGAAGGCGGCUCUCUGGGCCGGCACCGACGCUGAGGAGCGAAAGCUAGGGGAGCAAACA